rnacentral:rRNA from 1 species
UACGUAGGGUGCGAGCGUUGUCCGGAAUUAUUGGGCGUAAAGGGCUCGUAGGCGGUUUGUCGCGUCGGGAGUGAAAACAUCGGGCUUAACUCGAUGCUUGCUUUCGAUACGGGCAGACUUGAGGUAUGCAGGGGAGAAUGGAAUUCCUGGUGUAGCGGUGAAAUGCGCAGAUAUCAGGAGGAACACCUAUUGCGAAGGCAGCUCGCUGGGACGUAACUGACGCUGAGACGCGAAAGCGUGGGGAGCAAACAGG